rnacentral:rRNA from 1 species
GAUGAACGCUGGCGGCGUGCCUAAUACAUGCAAGUCGAGCGAACAGACGAGGAGCUUGCUCCUCUGACGUUAGCGGCGGACGGGUGAGUAACACGUGGAUAACCUACCUAUAAGACUGGGAUAACUUCGGGAAACCGGAGCUAAUACCGGAUAAUAUAUUGAACCGCAUGGUUCAAUAGUGAAAGACGGUUUUGCUGUCACUUAUAGAUGGAUCCGCGCAGCAUUAGCUAGUUGGUAAGGUAACGGCUUACCAAGGCAACGAUGCGUAGCCGACCUGAGAGGGUCAUCGGCCACACUGGAACUGAGACACGGUCCAGACUCCUACGGGAGGCAGCAGUAGGGAAUCUUCCGCAAUGGGCGAAAGCCUGACGGAGCAACGCCGCGUGAGUGAUGAAGGUCUUCUGAUCGUAAAACUCUGUUAUUAGGGAAGAACAAAUGUGUAAGUAACUAUGCACGUCUUGACGGUACCUAAUCAGAAAGCCACGGCUAACUACGUG